AAAGCUGGGAAAGUACAGAAUAAUUUGUUACUACAGAACAAAAUCCUGAUCAUGAAGAUUAUCACGUUUUCGUCUGUCGUGUUGGCUGUUCUGCUGUUUGUCUUCUCCAGGACAUGCAGUGCAGCAGACUGCACCGUGGAGGAUGACCGUAACCAGCCGUGUGACAAGGCCUGUCCAGAGAACACGCAGUGCAGAUGUAUCACGCCCGCAAAUGUGCGCUGUUUUGCUCCUCCUUGCUUGUUUAAAGUCUGUGUUGCAGACGACUGAUCACUUGUAGGGUCCUGCUCUUGUGAGUUCAUAAUAAAGACUCAUCUCUAGAU